GCAUGUGGGGCUCAACUGGUAAGAGCAUGGUAUUAACACUAGCCGGGGUUAGGGGUUCAAUUCCCACUGUAAAUAAUGCAUGCA